rnacentral:rRNA from 1 species
GACGAACGCUGGCGGCGUGCUUAACACAUGCAAGUCGAACGGAAAGGCCCUGCUUUUGUGGGGUGCUCGAGUGGCGAACGGGUGAGUAACACGUGAGUAACCUGCCCUUGACUUUGGGAUAACUUCAGGAAACUGGGGCUAAUACCGGAUAGGAGCUCCUGCUGCAUGGUGGGGGUUGGAAAGUUUCGGCGGUUGGGGAUGGACUCGCGGCUUAUCAGCUUGUUGGUGGGGUAGUGGCUUACCAAGGCUUGGACGGGUAGCCGGCCUGAGAGGGUGACCGGCCACAUUGGGACUGAGGUACGGCCCAGACUCCUACGGGAGGCAGCAGUGGGGAGUAUUGCACAAUGGGCGGAAGCCUGAUGCAGCAACGCCGCGUGCGGGAUGACGGCCUUCGGGUUGUAAACCGCUUUCGCCUGUGACGAAGCGUGAGUGACGGUAAUGGGUAAAGAAGCACCGGCUAACUACGUG